CUCUGAAUGCGGAAAUAUAGCACCAUGCUAUCCUCGCCAAAUAUUGCAAACAUUUUCUGGGUUUUACUCGGGAUUCGUCAUGCCAUCUCGAUGUGUAGCGAUGAAUUACUCACAGGAAGAUUCGAGACUCUAGGAGUGGUCCCAAAAAAACGUCUCCUGCAAAGCCACGACAGCUUUGAAAACCUACAAUACAACCUUGGUUUUACAAAGACGAAGCCAAACAUAAAAAAUGAAGUGGCGGAAACCCUCAACACAAUGAAAAAAGCGUUGCACGUCAGUUGCCACCCAGUUUCCCAAAAUCAAGAGAGAGUGGGUCGAGUCAUAUGAUGACCCAAGUGAUGCGGUGUCCAGCGAUGACGACUGAAGAGAUCCUAUGAGGCCUGCCAGAUGCUGAAUUUCUUCCGUCUGCGACAUCAGAUGACGAUGAUUUAGGAGAAAUAAAUGUAGCAAAUUUUGAUGACAUGAAAUCAUAAACUAGUCAUAUAUACAGUACACAUUUUUUAAAAGAAAAAUCUAGUUACCUUUAUAUUUUAAUGAUAAUGCAUUAUCUUUGUAUAGAGAACACUUCAUGCUACAGAAAAGAGUAAAUACAUAUUUCCCACUGCCAUUAUCAUUUUUAAAUGUUGCGCUAGUCCGUUGCUAUCCUAACUUUGUGUUCCUUACUAAAAUUAUGCUCUUUGAUGUGUGCCAUUGUGUGCUUGGUAUAACAUGUUGUGUCACAAUCUGACAACGAAAGCUAAUGCUGAUUCAACAUAAAUCUAUCAUUUAUUAUUGUGGCCUAUUGAAUAUUUUUUCAGAAUGUAAUAUAAUUACAAUAUAUUAUAUACCAAUAGAAUACAUUAAACAGUCAAC